CAAGGAAUGUAGAGAAGAGUUGAGACUGG
rnacentral:piRNA from 1 species